UACGAGGGGAGCUAGCGUUGUUCGGAAUUACUGGGCGUAAAGGGCGCGUAGGCGGUUCGACAAGUUGGAUGUGAAAGCCCAGGGCUCAACCCUGGAAUUGCAUUCAAGACUGUCUUACUUGAAUUCGGUAGAGGUUGGUAGAAUUCCCAGUGUAGAGGUGAAAUCCGUAGAGAUUGGGAAGAAUACCCGUGGCGAAGGCGGCCAACUGGACCGACAUUGACGCUGAGGCGCGAAAGCGUGGGGAUCAAACGGG
rnacentral:rRNA from 1 species